rnacentral:rRNA from 1 species
UAGGGAAUCUUCCACAAUGGACGAAAGUCUGAUGGAGCAACGCCGCGUGAGUGAAGAAGGGUUUCGGCUCGUAAAGCUCUGUUGGUAGUGAAGAAAGAUAGAGGUAGUAACUGGCCUUUAUUUGACGGUAAUUACUUAGAAAGUCACGGCUAACUACGUGCCAGCAGCCGCUGUAAUACGUAUCU